rnacentral:lncRNA from 1 species
CUUAAGGUCGACCAUAACUGUUCGUUGGCAUUUCUCACUGCAUUCACUCAAUUCCACUGCAAGGUUUUAGAAAAAUGACAUUGUAUCCAUUCCUGGGACUUUGUGUGUGUGUGUGUGUGUGUGUCUGUGUGUGUGAAGAAGAUAGUUCCUGAGCUAACAUCUGUGCCAAUGUUCCUCUAUUUUGUAUGUGCGACCCCGCCACAGCACGGUUUGACCAGCGGUGUGUAGGGCCCUGCUGGGAUCAUGAACCCCAGGCUGCGGAAGCAGAGCACUUGAACUUAACCACUGUGCCACCAGGCCGGCCCUCCGUUCCUGGGAAGUUCACAAGGCAUUUGAGACUGGCCCACAUUCAAUUUAGGAUCCCAUGGAAAGAUUUCCAUGAAAUAUGCCAUCGGCUUGGCCCAGGUUCAGAGAUUCAGAACAAUCCAAUGGCAGAGUGAGGGACGGGGUCCAGCCUGAGCUGCAUCCCCAGGGGACUGUGUCAGUGACCACCAGGCACCAGCGGACAACCAGCAACGGCACUGGCCAGAGGUCUGUCAUCACAUGGCUUGAAAUUAUGUCUAUAAAGUUUGUAACACGUGAUUUAAAGCACAGAACAUUGUGAAGGAAGUAUGUCAUACUACAAAUUUUGUAUUUAAAUCGUCUACAUUCAAAUGCCAGCUCCGCCACCUACUAGCCUUGUCAAUCUGGGUAAGUUUACCUCUCUGAGCUUCAGUUUUCUUGUCUGUAGAAUAAGAAAGGAGACACUACUUCAAAGGGUCGAUGUGAAAAUUAAAUGACAUAGUGCGUGACAAGUAGUUGACAUGGGUAGCUCUUGGUAAGUCAGCUAUUCUUAUUAAGGUAUGCAUCCAUCCAUUCAGUGCUGAUAUUAUAGACUUGUGAUAAAUGCCAGCAGGAAUGAUUGUCUGGUGGAUAACUAAGUAGAGGAGAAUUCUAAGUUAAGCAGACUCAAUAUAGGAACAUUUUAAUAUCUAAAACAGAAAAAAACGAUGGGGAGGUUGUCUUGACCUCACCGUGGGUGAGCAUGGGUGCAAUUGCCAAGAAUGAAAAGAGAGCGGAUCUGCAUGCCUUUGAUUCAUAUGACCACCAGAUGGACUAGGGCAAACAAGCUGCUUUCUGGGAAUUUACCGAAUUUUAUGUGCUUGCCUCUACCAUCUCGUUCCUUCCCUGCAAUAACUCUAGAAAGUGGACAAUGCUACAAUCCAGCUCCAGUUUAUAGAUGAGGAAACUGAGGUUGAACAGUUUUCAUAGUCAUAGUCACAUGACUAAUAAAUGGUGGAGCUGACAUCCA